AUUGAACGCUGGCGGCAGGCCUAACACAUGCAAGUCGAGCGGUUGCAGGGCGCUUGCUCCUGGCUUCAGCGGCGGGCGGGUGAGUUAUGCCUAGGAAUCUGCCUGGUAGUGGGGGAUAACGUCCGGAAACGGGCGCUAAUACCGCAUACGUCCUGAGGGAGAAAGUGGGGGAUCUUCGGACCUCACGCUCUCAGAUGAGCCUAGGUCGGAUUAGCUAGUUGGUGGGGUAAAGGCCUACCAAGGCGACGAUCCGUAACUGGUCUGAGAGGAUGAUCAGCCACACUGGAACUGAGACACGGUCCAGACUCCUACGGGAGGCAGCAGUGGGGAAUAUUGGACAAUGGGCGAAAGCCUGAUCCAGCCAUGCCGCGUGUGGGAAGAAGGUCUUCGGAUUGUAAAGCACUUUAAGUUGGGAGGAAGGGCAGUAAGUUAAUACCUUGCUGUUUUGACGUUACCAUCAGAAUAAGCACCGGCUAACUUCGUG
rnacentral:rRNA from 1 species